rnacentral:rRNA from 1 species
CCUACGGGAGGCAGCAGUGAGGAAUAUUGGACAAUGGGCGCAAGCCUGAUCCAGCCAUGCCGCGUGCAGGAUGAAGCAUCUAUGGUGUGUAAACUGCUUUUAUACGGGAAGAAACCCCGCCUCGUGAGGCGGACUGACGGUACCGUAAGAAUAAGGACCGGCUAACUCCGUGCCAGCAGCCGCGGUAAUACGGAGGGUCCAA